rnacentral:misc_RNA from 1 species
AAGUCGUAACAAGGUUUCCGUAGGUGAACCUGCGGAAGGAUCAUUAACAAAAAAAUACAAAAAAAAUAAAACACUUUACUAACCCCCUUUCUAGAACUUUAAAUUGGGAUGCCAUUUUGACCCUAUUUUUUAUUUACUAAACGAAAUCUAAAACAAUAUAAAAUACACACAAUAACCUAAAAAAAUAAACAACACUAAAUUUUAGUGUAUAAUCAAAUAAUAAGAAACAACUCUUAACAAUGGAUAUCUCGGCUCUCGU